rnacentral:sRNA from 1 species
GGGAGCAGGGUCGUGGCGUCCGAGCCUCCGGGCUGCAGGGGGCGCGGAGCGGGCGGGCUGGCCCAGAAAACAAAUCCUGCGGUGUCGCAUUUCCUGCAAUGUGAGCCAGCUGAGCUCCUGCGACGGCCACGACGGGCUGCGGAGGCAGGACUCCAGCCGCAAGCCCCGCGCCUUCAGCAAGCAGCCCAGCACGGGGGACUACUACCGGCAGCUGGGCCGCUGCCCCGGCGAGACGCUGGCCGCACGCCCGGGCAUGGCGCACAGCGAGGAGGUGCGUGCCCGCCAGCCCGCGCCUGCCGGCUGCCCGCGCCUCGGCCCUGCCGCCCGCGGCUCACUCGAAGGCCCCUCCGCUCCCCCGCAGGCGGCGCUGCUUCCUGGGAACCAUGUUCCUAACGGCUGCGCCGCGGACCCCAAGGCGUCCAGGGAGCUGCCACCGCCGCCCCCACCGCCGCCGCCGCCCCUGCCGGAGGCCGCGAGUUCGCCACCGCCGGCCCCGCCUCUGCCCC